CGAAAUUUCCGUGAGGGAGCUGGAAGAGUCAGGACUGGGAAGAUAUGGUGUGUUCAACAAAAGACACUGAAAUCGCGUUGCUCCUGCUACCAAAGAAAACAAGGCUGCUUUCUCUCCGCCUCGCAAAAAAAGCCCCCGCACUUUUUAAAGACAAAAAGCACCCGAAGGGUGGGCUGAGCCAUAAACUGAAGUCCCGCCGCGUCACAGCUCCCGGUUAGGUAGGUAGGUGUGUGUGUGUGUGUGUGUGUGUUUCACGAGGGAAAUGUCCCUUCAAACCGCGCAUCUCAAGGCUUUUCGGAAUAUCUUGAAACUGUUUAUGAGGAGGUGAACUCGGAGUUUCUUCCACGCCCCCUUCUCGGGCUUUCGUUAAAAGAUGUAGUGACACCAGCUAGGAAGCUGGGUGCCACUGUUUAGUCACUCAAGACCCACUGGGCCGAAGGGAGGAAGCCACCAAUCCUCCUGACCCUAAAUACCUACAGUUCUGCUGGGAUGCCGGCCUUCCUCUGUCCCCUUAUCCUUCCUCCAAGACUCCCUGCAAAGGAACGUGCCUUCGCUUCACCUGUGGCCGCAGAUGGAGAAAUUUUCAACCAUGUCUAUCUUUGACCACAAAAUUCAAAAGAGCUCACUCCUAGGGCUUUGGCAAAAAACAACCAUGUUGGAAACAAAAGAAUAUUUUACAACAAUAGUCCUCGCAAAUUAAACCAGGCUGGGCCCAUCUUCGAGGUGGUCCCCCCUUCUUCCUCUCCUUUCUCCUUUGUGAUGGGGAGGGUGAGAAUGAAAGCUUGUCUUUAGUUUAAAAGCAUACGAACAGUAGUAAUCAAUUGAACGGAUGUUAGCGACCUUUUCGGUUAUAUUAUCUUUGCGCUCAUGAAGGUGGUACCCCGGUGAGCCAAGGAGAAAUACCUUUCUACCGACUGAGAGACUCAGGACUGAGUUGAUCUCUGAUUUUCUCCUGCUCCAACUCCAGACUCUUGGGCUCAGCGGGGUAUUAAAAACAGAGAGCCUGGAAAUCCGCUCAGUCCUGGCACAUCGAGUUUUGAGGCAGGGAAGAGCCUUCAGCACCGAGGACAGCGCCACUCGUUAAGGGCUUUGCUGGGUAUUCACUGCAAGUGCUCGGCCAACCCCCUGCCUCUGCCCCAGGCUGGGCCCCAUCUUCUUCCCUCUUGGAAGUUACUGUUGUUUAUUUUGCCUGGCAGCGGAUUGUGCGGUGGAGCGUUUCGCCCACUCCUUUCUUCUCCGCCUAAGAAUUUGGACGGAUGGUAGCUGUCCUUGUCCUUUGGCUUUUCAGAAACAAUAUUUGGACUAUUUUUAUUUGUGGUUUUCAUUCUUUUUAUCUUCAUACUCCCAGGGAGUGAUGCUUAGAAGAAUGGGGAUGAAAAAAAAAAAAGAAAAGACUUCCUCUCCAGGGACUUGAACCGGUGGUGAGCGGUGGCCUGGAAGGGUGUGGUGUCCGGCCAGCUGUUUCGUUCGUAUUUUGAUCUACGAGUUAGCGCUUUGAAGAAAUGGGAAAGCAACGCUCUAAGGCUGCAAAGGGCAGGGAAUGCCUUCGGCUGCGUUCUUUCUCCCUCCUCCGGGCGUUGGGGGUGGCCGGCAGGCUACUCACCUAUUCUGUCUACCAAGGACGACGUCCCCUAGGUCAACAGUGACAGACACUGACAUUCUCCGCCCACAGUGCCCUUUCCCCGGGACAUUUAAAGAUACUCAAAACGCGUUUGGGGCCCUGGCUUUUUUCCAGAAAGGAGACAAAAAAUCAGGUGGGAGGAGCGUUGGGAAAGAGGCUCCCCAACCCGCUUCCGGGGAGUCCCCCGCCCCCACCGCCCCUCUUUUGCUUAAAAUAUUUUCUGUCAAGGUGAGUAGAUAAGACGUCAACUGACUUUUGACGCACGUUGCAUUAUUAGCUUCCAAGAACGGCAGUUUAGAGCCGUGAUUUGUGGUUCAUUUUAGCUGGGUCAUAAAGGUCUAUUUAAAGUAUUAAAUUAUGAUUUUAACAAAAGGGUGGAAAAGGUGGAGUGGAAGUAGUCGCGUUUAAACGUGUCUCCCAGGAGAACGAGGGAGGCGGUUUUAAGUCAGACCGCAGGUCCCUUCGCUCUGUGUCCAUACUUUCAAGAUAGAUCCCUGACUCUCUCUGGACUUUCUCCGGAGGGCCCUAACGCACACCCCAUCCUAACAGAGAACUGCACUGCUUCCUGGCAGGCUGUGGAAGGGUUAAAAGGGGGCGGGGAGGAAGAGCUCCAGCUGGGCCGAGUCUAGAAAUUGCAGUGAUUUCUUGUGGAGAGCUGGAGUCUUCAGAUAAUUGUCAUGUGGCUGUUCCCCUUUGAUAGUCCGGGGCUGCUGAAAACACUCCGGCACAAACCGAGCAAGCAAGCCGCGCUGGGAGAUUUGUGCUCGUGUGAAUCCAGAAACGCCCAGUUCUCGCCACCCCGAGCACGAGCACAGUGACCAGCAGGGGGCGGUAGAUGACAAUUCCUGAGGAGAACAACGGCCCCCAAACACAGCUGGUCUUCAAGGAAGCCUGCCCGCAGGUUCCAUUUCGCGUAUGCCUAUGCCUUUAUUUUAUUUUAUUAUUUUUUUUUACAAAGCAGAACCUUUUUAAACGCUGAGAAAUGCCCCCGAUGUGACCUAAAACACCCAGGCUCGUGUGUCCCUUUGAUGAAAGGGGACAGGCAGCAUGGCAUCCGUUUCUUUUCCUUGCCGCUGUAUCCCAAAGGUGCCUUAAGGAAUCCUUUGGUUGUAAGCUAGAAACAGCUUUGCUGCAAGGCAGAUAGCACAGAAAUCACAGACCUGGAUCCAGAUGUGCCAGAGGGAAUUUCAUCGCAUAACUGAAUUAGUGAACGAGUACGACUAAGUCAUAUUUUUAUCCAUUUCUUUUUCGGUUUAAAAUACCAGGUAUUUAAUUUCUAUUUCCGGACUUAUGUGUCUGGUACUGUUUGUAAGAAGGUUCCGGAGUGUUCUGAUUUGGUCAGGGAGGAUCUGGUUACUUAAUCUUGUGGAGUCAGAUUUGGCUCCUUCCCAGGCAUUGACCAGUACUCAGGGAAGAAAACUGGGACCUUAAUGGCGGGAUUCAUUCCAACUCCCAAAGCUGUCAGUGGUGUUAUUUGUUUUUUUACUCUUUUGGGGGGCUGCCACCUAGCUUCCUCCCAAAACAAAUCACGCACAGAGGCUUAUUAAUUAUCAAUGCCCAGUCUUAGCUUGUACUGUUUCUAGCCAGGUUUUAUUAACUUAAACUGUCCUGUCUGUCUUUGGCCUUGGGACUUUUACCUUUCUCUAUUCCUGUACACCUUUUCUUUCCUUCUUACUCUGUGUCUGGCUGUAUAGGUGAGUGGCUGGCCUCUUGCUCUUCUUCUCCCAGAUUUCUCCUUCUAUUUAUUCUCUCUGUCUGCCAGCCCCGCCUAUCCUUUCUCCUGCCUUGCUAUUGGCCGUUCAGUUCUUUAUUAGACCAUCAGGUGUUUUAGACAGGCACAGUAACACAGCUUCACAGAGUUAAACAAAUGCAACGUAAACAAAAGUAACAUACCUUAAAUAAUAUUCUACAGCACGUCAGUUCAUUUUUAAAUUACUUUCAUUUGACGUGCAUUGAUGUUUUGUCUUGUGUAUGCCUGUGUAAGGGUGCUGGGUUCCUUGGAACUGGAGUUAAACAGUUGUGAGCUGCCAUGUGGGUGCUGGGAAUUGAACCCCGGUCCCUCUGGAAGAGCAGUCAGUGCGCUUAACCACUGAGCUAUCUCUCCAGCCCCUGUCAGUCCAUUUUAUGUGAAGGGAUUAUAUUGAACAGUUCAUUGGGCUUGCGGCAAUCAUGCUGUAGGCUUCCCUCACAUAGUGAGGGUAGAUCCAUCAUAGUUCCAGGUGGGGGGCCAAAGUCCUGCUUUCUUUGAUCGGGUGAGCCAGGGAUCCUUUAGAUCCAUUUAAGCAUCUUUUCCCCCUCAAGACAGGGUUUCUCUGUGUAUCCCUGGUUAUCCCUGAAUUCACUCUGUACACCAGGCUGGCCUCAAACUCACAGAGAUCCUCCUGCCUCUGCCUCCUGAGUGCUGUGAUUAAAGGCGUGCGCUGCCACCGUUCUGCUGAACUGAAUUUUUUUUUAACAGCUCGUAAAUGUAAGGAUUAAAUGGGAAUCAUUAUCUUCUCACUGGGGUUAUAGACUUAUUUCAACUCUACAGAUAAGUCCCAGAGUGGGAGGAGCCUCCAAAGUUCUUCGCCUCUCUGCCCUCUCCUCCAUGUUGAGUUUGGCCAUGUGAUUUGUUUUGGACGUUGGUAUGAAACUGAUUUUCAAACUCAUGAGUUUUGGGGUGAUGUGCUAUGCAUCAGUAUCAUGGCUACAGCAGAUUGCUAUUGUCUUUUAUAUCAAGAAGGUUAAGGGGAGCCAUGAUGGAAUUCAGGGAAUUUUGGCAUCUCUUGAGACAGGAAGAAGACUCAAGCCUCCCUGAGAGUGUUGGCUGGAGGUCAAUUGUUAUUGAAGUUCCUCGAAGAAAAUGUUAAUUUUAUGGCAAAUCUUUGUCAACACAACUUAACAUUUUUGCAUUGUAAAAUGACUAAAGCUAGGCUGCCCAUGUUCCAGGGGAUGACCCUACACCCUGGCACAUACGAAGUGGAUUCAGUGGAUUUAAAAGAGUACAGGUGUUUAGGAAGGAAAAGUGAUUCUUGGGGGUACUGGAGGAGUCGGAGGGAAGAGAAUGGGGAGGUAGAUUUAAUCAAAAUGUAUUCUAUUCAUGGAUGUAAUUCUUAAACUAAACACCAUGACUGAAGCUGCCAGGCUGGAGCAGUGAGGCUACCUACGGAGAGUUGUGGGUCCCUUCCCCCUCCAUCAGAGGGCAGCUGGAGCAGAAGCAGUGUCCAAGGAGGUUGUACAGAACCUUCUGUUCACUCCACAGUUCCCAAGUCCAGCAGGGCUAUGAAGGAUUUUGUUGCCGCUGCCCUUGGAGAACAGGGCAACAGCAACCCCUGUCAUCUUCAUGGUAAGGGGAGGAGUCACUUGGGAGAGUCUCCAAAACCUCGUGGUGACCGUCCCCACCUCUGCUCACACUGCUCAAGCCUGAGCAGAGAAACUGAUGUCCUGCUUCCCCAUCCCUGCCGACGAUUUUGAAUGACUGAAGGAGACUGUGAAGCCAGUAGCAGAUAAGUCAGGAGACUUCAUCUCACUUGCGGGAAGGACCGAAGACUUCUUGGAAGCCGCCAAACUUCGGGAGUCUCUGCUUCAGUCGCAGCAGUUUCGGAUGCCCUGAAAGGACCCCAGGCGUCUUCACUUUCACCACAACAACUUCUGAUGAUCCUCAGGCCGUUCUGCCCACGGUGACAACAGGGUGUCCCCGUGAGGUCCUCAAUCUAGGUAGGGAGGAACACCUCCUUUACCCACGCCAGCUGGGGUGGGUGGGUUGAGAAUGUCUGCUCCAGACUGCAUGGCUAAGCAGAACGGUCGUGGUUAGUAGAAGUUAUACAAGUAGCCCUCUCUCAUUCUUCUCUGAGUAGGUGGGAGGUAUGAGGCAGUCAUCUGGGCCUCAUCCAGUGCAUUGUUUACCCUGUGUAGCCUAGACUCAACACACCGCACCACCGCCUUGGUGUUUUUCACUGUCUAGUCUUUAUCUCAGGUGGGUCAUUGUCUUAGUUAGGGUUUCUAUUGCUGUGAAGAGACACCAUGACCAUGGCAACUCUUAUAAAGGAAAAACAUUCAAUUGGGGUGGCUUACAGUUUCAGAGGUUUAGUCCAUUAUCAUCAUGGUGCAACAUGGUGGCAUGCAGGCAGACAUGGUGCUGGAGCAGGAGCUGUGUCCUACGUCUUGGCACCCCCCACAGGCAACAGGAAGUGGUCUGUGUCACUGGACGUAGCUGGAGCAUAGGAGACCUUAAAGCCCGCCCCCACUGUAACACACUUCCUCCAACAAGGCCACACCUCCUGAUAGAGCCGCUCCCUAUGAGCUAGUGGGGGCUAAUGACAUUCAAACUACCAUUGUCAGAUUGGAGCUGGUAACUGGAGGAAUGGAUGGACAACUCUUAGGCACUCCUCCCCCAGCACAGCUCCAGGCACUGCGAAGUGGAUGGGAGUUAAAGCCCCAGAGAGUGGUCCACAGCAGAGACUGUGGAGGGAGGGCUGACGCUGGGGAGAGUCGGGCCAGCGGAUAUUAGAAGCACUGCACAGUGCUGCGAAGAUGACAGAGCUGUAACUGCAGAUGGCAAAGGGCUGGGAGGAGCCAAGCCCACAAGACCCCGGCAGCUGACUUCUGCAAGGCUAGCUGUACGGAGCUACAUAGCACUGAGAGCAGCGGGUCCCAACAUCCCUAGCCCAGAGAUGUCACACCAGCAGCUGGGUGCUGGGCCAUCGGCACUUAAAGCCCAGAGCCAAAGAGUUCUAGAUCCCAACACCAGAAGCUAGAGACACCACGCUGAGGAGAGUGUUUCUUUGUAGCUUCCAUCAGAACGGAGCAAAAGAUCCCUCAGCUGAGCCGGGCGGUGGUGGUGCACACCUUUAAUCCCAGCACGUAGGAGGCAGAGCCAGGCGGAUCUCUGUGAGUUCGAGGACAGCCUGCUCUACAGAGCGAGAUCCAGGACAGGCACCAAAACUACACAGAGAAACCCUGUCUCGAAACAACAACAACAAGAACAAGAUCCCUCAGCUGAUUGGUAACAGAGUCCCAGGAUUGCUUACUGUUAGCCUGAUGGAGAAAAAGGGGAAUGAAGAAUCUGGACAGAAGUGGUGUGAAAAGGUAAUGACCAAGAACAUUUUGAACUUGAUGAAACUAUCAAGUACAGAUCUAAGAAACUCGGCAAAGUGCCCAUUGCUUAAACACAAAGAAAACACCAACUAUUUUGUGUAAUUCUAACCACCGAACCCCAGAUAGAAAGAUAAGGUAGACCAGAUAUCUCCUGAUUCAAAGCUUCCAGGGUUCUCCACCUACCUCAGAGCAAACCAAGUUCCUUCAGCUGGGGAAAGGUCUGUGUCGCCCACCCAGCCCUGUGCCCAGGUCGUGACUCUAGCCUCAGAUGCUAGCAGCUGCCUUUGCCCAGCCUGAGCCACCCAGGUCUCUGGUGGCCGCCUUCAGGCCCCUCCCCUCUCCACACAGCUGUACUUCACCCUGCUCUGUACCUCAUUCCUCUCGAUGCUCACAGGCUGGCUUCCUACAGUUCAGUUCUGUCCUCAAGCUCCGAGGGAGGCCUCCCAGGCCAUGCGAUGGAAACGUCUGACCACCUAGGACCUUCCCUUCCUCUUCCCUACUCUGGUUUCUCCAUAGCGCCUACCAUUCAUGACACAACAUUUACUUAGUUUACUUUCUGUCCGACAUCAGACCUGACUGUGGGAUUGCUGUCAGCGGCCUGCUGAUUUUCCAGGAUCUCACACAGCACCUGGCACCCAAGCAGGGUUGAACAUUUGUGGAAUAAACCCAUGUUCAGUUAGUGUUGACUCCCAUACCCCCUGACUCUUCUGAAAUCAGCAGCAUAAAGUGACUGACUGCCUCCUAUGUCAUGAUGAUUCUGUUUCCCAGGACAGUGACCAGUCUAUUAAUCUACUUUGAUUUAGUACACAAAGUAGUACCCUAGGAGUCCCAGUGAGUCCACAGAUAACUGAACUCAUUUUUCCUAAGGGAUCCCUGAGACCUUAGCAGAGCAUUCACUUGACGGGGAUAGUCAAGCCGUCUUCGUAUUAUGGGAUCUGUUUCUAGAAACAAAGGGACGGCUGGAGGAGGUGAGUGUUCUGU